rnacentral:tRNA from 1 species
UCUCAAGAAAUCUAUAAGAUAUUAAGUUUUUACCUUAAAUAAGAUUUAUCCUCCUUGAGAA